AACGAACGCUGGCGGCGCGUCUUAAGCAUGCAAGUCGACGGCAAGAGAGGAGCUUGCUUCUCUCCUAGAGUGGCGGACUGGUGAGGAACGCGUGGGUAAUCUACCCUUAAGAUGGGGAUAGCCGCUAGAAAUAGCGGGUAAUACCGAAUAGACUUAUAGCUGAGAAAGAAGUGAUAAGAAAAGGAAGCUAAGGCUUCGCUUAAGGAUGAGCCUGCGUCCCAUUAGCUAGUUGGUAAGGUAACGGCCUACCAAGGCGACGAUGGGUAUCCGGCCUGAGAGGGUGAACGGACACAUUGGGACUGAGAUACGGCCCAAACUCCUACGGGAGGCAGCAGCUAAGAAUAUUCCGCAAUGGACGGAAGUCUGACGGAGCGACACCGCGUGGAUGAAGAAGGCUGAAAAGUUGUAAAUUCUUUUGCUGAUGAAGAAUAAAGAUAAGAGGGAAUGCUUAUCAGAUGACGGUAGUCGGCGAAUAAGCCCCG
rnacentral:rRNA from 1 species